CACCACCGGAUCCAGCGGAAGACGAUAACUGGAAACUGAUUCUGUUUAUUGUACUUCCGGUGUGUUUGGCUGUUGUGGCGUUUAUUGUGGUCGCCAUUUUGGUGCGGUGUCUUCGAAGACGGAAAGCAGCAAAACAGGUCG